GAUGAAGAACGUAGCGAAAUGCGAUAAGUAAUGUGAAUUGCAGAAUUCAGUGAAUCAUCGAAUCUUUGAACGCACAUUGCGCCCCCCAGUAUUCUGGCGGGCAUGCCUGUUCGAGCGUCAUUUCAACCCUCAGGCCCCCAGUGCCUGGUGUUGGGGAUCGGCCCAGCCUUCCUGUAAGGCCGCCGGCCCCGAAAUCUAGUGGCGGUCUCGCUGUAGUCCUCCUCUGCGUAGUAGCACAACCUCGCAGUUGGAACGCGGCGGUGGCCAUGCCGUUAAACACCCCACUUCUGAAAGUUGACCUCGGAUCAGGUAGGAAUACCCGCUGAACUUAAGCAUAUCAAUAAGCGGAGGA
rnacentral:misc_RNA from 1 species